CAUGCUCUGGGAAAGAUUUCUGCCAUCCUCUGGGGUGGGGUUGCUUGUGGGGGCCACAGCAGGCAGGGUUGGCCUCUCAACAGAUGGCCUGCAGGUCUCCUGGCCUCAGUUAAGCCAGGGCCCCAGGGGUCUGACACUGAGUUUUUCAACGUCUGUUCUCUUUUUCUUUCUGUCUGCCUUGCCCCACUUCUGUCCCUCUACCCUGGGAGCACCAUCGCCGCUGGGGUUUCUCUCUCGUUUGCUCCGCUUUCCUGCUGCUGCUGCUCCUGUCUCAAGUGUAUCAAGGCCUUCUUCUCAUGACUUUUCUUUCUGUCUUUCAGAUAGUUUCAAACAAAAGCAUACCUCGAAAGCGCCCCAGAGAGGUAGCUCUCUCAACUUUUCAGACUUGUGGUUUUCCUUUCCCUUUUUCCCUCUUCCCUUGUUCCUCCUGCCUUUCUCAUUUCCUGGGAUGCUAGCUUUAAAAUCUCUGGAAUGGCAUGGGGGUAGGAGCAGUGGAAUUUCUGCUGUGCUCUACUCCUCAAAGUCCUGGAGGCUGCCUUUACCACUGCUUGUCUCCCACAAACCUGCUCCUAGAGCUGCUCGGCCCAGUGCAUGGGGUGGCUUCAGAAGCAUUAUCAGGAGCCCAUUACAAUCAGACCCUUCCGCUCCCUUCCCAGACCAGGCACCUGGUGGUCAGCUCAUGUUCCCCACUGCCCCACCACCUCCUCCUGCCAUCCUCUCUCCCCACUCCUUUCCUGCUGGCCCCCUUGCCCUUCUUGGUGUUACUUCUCAAGAUGACAAAAUGCCUCAUGGGGAUCUGCUUUCCUUGCUGAUUGGCAGGCCUGGACAGGGCAAUUACGUGGGAGUGUGCUUGAAUUUCUUUGGGGACCAACUGCCCAACUGGCUUCAUUGAUAGGCUAUCCCCAAGAAACCCAUCCCCUGCUUGUUUACCCACAUUCAGGGGAGAUGGGCUCCAUGGUGUGUGUGGGGUAGCAUGAGCCUCCCACAUUUACUGAGGGGUAAAAAAGUUUGGAGUCUUAUCCACUUUUCCCCCUUCCUGCCACCCCAAAGAUAUAGGAAUAUCCUUCCCUUUCCUGACCUGGAGCGUCCCAGACUGUUAGUAUAUCCCAGAGCAACUAACUGGUGAUGGGGCAAGGGCUAAGCCCCCCAAAAGUCAACAUGGAAGAGCAGUGGUGACCAUGGGGUUGGAGUUCAGGAGGGAAAAGAGCCCCAAAAGCUAGAGAGCCCCACGGCCUGAUGCUCCUGGCUGAGGGGAAGUGGCCGUCACUCAAGGCCUGUCCCAGAGUGGAGCUGCUAGGGGAAGGGAUGGUUGCCCUCUGCCUCAGGUGGAGCCCCCACAGCUUGCAGGGAUGGGGACAUGGCACUCUUGUAUCCUAACACCUUUCUCUGCAAUCUUCUUCCCACUCAGUUUGUGGAAAACGUUACAAGAACCGACCAGGCCUCAGUUACCACUAUGCCCACUCCCACUUGGCUGAGGAGGAGGGUGAGGACAAGGAAGACUCUCAACCACCCACUCCUGUUUCCCAGAGGUCUGAGGAGCAGAAAUCCAAAAAGGGUCCUGAUGGAUUGGCCUUGCCCAACAACUACUGUGACUUCUGCCUGGGGGACUCAAAGAUUAACAAGAAGACGGGACAACCCGAGGAGCUGGUGUCCUGUUCUGACUGUGGCCGCUCAGGGCAUCCAUCUUGCCUCCAGUUUACCCCCGUGAUGAUGGCGGCAGUGAAGACAUACCGCUGGCAGUGCAUCGAGUGCAAAUGUUGCAACAUCUGCGGCACCUCCGAGAAUGACGACCAGUUGCUCUUCUGUGAUGACUGCGAUCGUGGCUACCACAUGUACUGUCUCACCCCGUCCAUGUCUGAGCCCCCUGAAGGAAGUUGGAGCUGCCACCUGUGUCUGGACCUGUUGAAAGAGAAAGCUUCCAUCUACCAGAACCAGAACUCCUCUUGAUGUGGCCACCCACCUGCUCCCCGACAUAUCUAAGGCUGUUUCUCUCCUCCACUUCAUAUUUCAUACCCAUCUUUCCCUUCUUCCCCCUCUCCUUCACAAGUCCAGAGAACCUUGGGGUGGUUGUGCCAGCCUGCCUUUGGCAGCUGCAAGCUGAGGUGGCAGCUCUGACCACCUCUGGCCCCAGGCCCUCAGGGAGAAAGGUGCAACACACUGCCCCUAGGCGUGCGUGUGGCCCAGUUUCUCUCUGCUCUCCAUUAAGUGCAUUCACUCUGCUUGCCUUGGGCCCAGGCCCUGGUGAUCACAGGGUUCAAACAGUGUCCUCCUAGAAAGAGUGGGAGAGCAGCUCACUUCUCUGUGUUCUGCCUCCCCUCUGGUCUCCAGAGUUUUCCUGUCCUCUAGAGGCAAGCCAGGCCGGGGAGCUGGGAGCGAGCAAGCUGAGGCCACGUCCACAAGGAGCUUUUCAUGCCCCUGUGCCGCAUAGCCUCACCUCUUUCCUCCAGAGUGGCUCUCUGCGGCCCUGUGUUCCUGCUACAGAGGGUUCUUUUCUGGAGUCAGAAUGUUCUCGGUCACCCUCCUGGUUCUGCCCUGUCCCACUCCACCCCACCCCAGGGGGAACAGUAGCUUCACCUUGUUAUUCCCAUUGAUCUCCUGGCUCUUAUGGGCAGUCUCCAGUGACUGAAGCAUUCCCCACCCUUGGAAUUUCUCAUCUUCUGCCUCCCUUCCUACUCCUUUUGGUUUUGUGGGGAGAGGGGAAGGAUCAGGGGGCCAGGCCAGCAGCUCGGGGGCCACAGGGAGAUGGAUAAUGUGCCUGUUUUUUAACACGACAAAAAAGCCUACCUCCAAAAUCCCCUUUUUGUUCUUCCUGGACCUGGGCAUUCAGCCUCCUGCUCUUAACUGAAUUGGGAGCCUCUGCCACCUGCCCCGUGUAUCCUGGCUCUCAGCUCAUGGGGAAGCCACAUAGACAUCCCUUUCUUCCCUUGCACGCUCGCUAGCAGCUGGUAAGGUCUUCACACCCUGAUUCCUCAAGUUUUCUGCUUAGUGGCACUGACAUUAAGUAGUGGGGGGACAGUCCAUGCCAGGACACCCUGGAGUAGCCUUCCCCCUUGGCCGCGGGCAGGCCCUAACUCACUGUCGCUUUGGAGUUGAGGUGUCUUUUUUUUUUUCUUUCUUUAGUUCCUGUAUUCUAAACAUUAGUAAAAAUAAAUGUUUUUACACAG
rnacentral:sRNA from 1 species